rnacentral:rRNA from 1 species
UACGGAGGAUGCAAGCGUUAUCCGGAUUCACUGGGUUUAAAGGGUGCGUAGGCGGGCAGGUAAGUCCGUGGUGAAAUCUCUGAGCUUAACUCAGAAACUGCCAUGGAUACUAUUUGUCUUGAAUAUUGUGGAGGUAAGCGGAAUAUGUCAUGUAGCGGUGAAAUGCUUAGAUAUGACAUAGAACACCAAUUGCGAAGGCAGCUUACUACACAGUUAUUGACGCUGAGGCACGAAAGCGUGGGGAUCAAACAGG